UAGUGUGCAUGCUAUAGCUAAAUAAAAAAAACAAAACAAAAUGCUAGCUUAAAUACUAGUGAGCUAAUGCUGCUUGCUUAUAGUGGAAAUGUUAUGGAGUAAAGUGACAGUAAAAUUGUCCUAAUUGUUUACCGUGUGUUCAUGUAGCAAUAGAUGCUCAACUGCUGCUUUUUUGAGGGAGCGUAACACAGAGGAGGGAGUCAUCCAGACACUGAAGGAUGAAAAUAUUGACGAAACUGUCAUUCCAUUAAUGACUGACCAUGACCUGGCAAAGUACAUCCCAAAAGUUGCUGACAGAAUGAAUAUCCAUCGUCACUUUUCUGCAGAAAAUAAGCAGCACACUUAAGUAGCAUCUUCAAGAAAAGAAACCAUACAUUCAAGUCUUUGUCAAAAACUCAUCUCAAAAUGAUGCGGGACCCUCGGACCCUCUUCUUCCUUCUCCUCCUCCUCCUCCUCUUCGUCCGCACAUGAAACAAAAAGAAAGUGGACAAAGUGGGUGAUGGGUGGGUGACUUAUUACAGUUAAGUUUAUGUUCAUAGCUGUUUUUCUAGCUUUUCCUAACAGUUUUCCUAUUUGUUUGUAAAAUCCCUAAUCCAUAGCAAAGGAUUCAAUUUGUCAACUAGACAAAAGUUUUUUUUUGAUUGAAAAUGUUCAAACUGAAACUACUCUGAAAUGCACACACCUACUUGUUUACAGUUUCUAUUUGUUAGCUUUGUCUACUGUACUGCACUUACUAACAAAAACUGUAAACAAGUAGGUGUGUUACUUUCAAAGUAGUUUCUGUGUAGUUAUCGCCUCCCUUCAGGCAAAUAUAAGGCAAUAUCCACCAGCAUCUGACCAGAACUAAGAAGCAGCUUGAAUAAGCUGCAAAACGUUUUCACUCAAAAAAGCUUUAGUCUGUUUGACAAAUUGAAUUUGUCCUUUGCCAGUUUUUCUAUUUAUUCUAAACGGUGGAUGUUUGACUAUCUAGAAAACUAUUUUGAAAAGUGUUUCAAAACAAACCUUACUAUAACUAAUAGCAUAAAACUGAGAACCAUUGUCAACUAUACAGUAUACAAGUUCAAUUAAAAUAUGAAAAUGUCGCUGUUUCACCCAUUGACUUUUUUCUACAUGGUAUUGCUUUCAUCACACAGUCAGAUCACUCCAAAAGCAGUUGACUUGUCUUGAAAUUGCAAAAUAAUUGAUAUCUUAAGGAGGCAUGUAACAGGACACUACUAUCUGGAAUACACUUUAUUACGUUAACAUGUUUUAGUACAUUGUUCUAUAUUAUGAGGUGUACCAACAGUCGAUGUAUAUUUUAGCAAGAAUCAAGAUCUUGUUAAGUGAGAGAUCUGGGCAACGUGAUGGUGCAUACAAUAUCUUUCUGUAGCCCUAUUACUCCUAUUUCUUCAGUCACACUGUUACAAACAAGUUCUGGCCUCUGUCUUCACGUGUGUUACACAUUGUAUCAUGGUAAUAGCAUAACCAUGUAUAAAGGUAUUCAUUAAAUAUAUACUCAGGACAAUAAAUGUAAAAGUUUUAUCAGGUCCUGACACAAAGUACCAGAGUUAUUCCAGGAGUGAGGUGCUUGAUGCUGAGGACACGGUCUACUUAAAUGUGUCAAUAAGCACUAGUCUUUAAAGUUCACUGUAUGCAGGAUUUAUGUGGCUCUGGAUGAAAUAAAUCGAGGGGUUUCUUGUCAAA